AAACUCCCGGGAGCCAGAAUAAAGGCACUGGGACCAGGGGAAACAGCACACAGCAAAGAUGUCACCUCCUGGCUCCGUCUGGUUGAGGACUUCUGGUCCUGAUCACGGAUCAGCACCCAAAGGCAGCAGAUCCUGUGACAAACCAAAGCGGCCACUGUGAAAUAUAGGCAAUCUGUCCUCCGGCUCACAGAACUGAAGUCCAAGUCAGCUGGGGGAAGAAGAUUCAAUUUCUCUUUAAAUGUCACAGGUUCUUCCCAUGAUACUGACAACUUAAGUUUAAAAACACACAGUACACAACAAAAACCAACUGCACAGACAC